rnacentral:rRNA from 1 species
UACGUAGGUGGCAAGCGUUAUUCGGAAUUAUUGGGCGUAAAGGGUGCGUAGGCGGCCAUUUAAGUCUAAGGUGAAAGUUCGAGGCUCAACUUCGAAUUGCCUUAGAAACUGGAUGGCUAGAGUGCAGGAGAGGGCAAUGGAAUUCCAUGUGUAGCGGUAAAAUGCGUAGAUAUAUGGAGGAACACCAGUGGCGAAGGCGGUUGCCUGACCUGUAACUGACGCUGAAGCACGAAAGCGUGGGGAGCAAAUAGGAUUAG